UGGCUCAGUUGGUAGAGCAUGGUGUGUGCAUCGCCAGGUUGUGGGUUCGAUUCCCAC
rnacentral:tRNA from 1 species